rnacentral:rRNA from 1 species
UUGCUAAUGGGGGCGCCCUGACCGCAAUGCCGCGUGAGUGAAGAAGGCCUUCGGGUUGUAAAGCUCUUUUGUCAGGGAAGAAACACCGGCUCUAACACAGUCCGGGAAUGACGGUACCUGAAGAAUAAGCACCGGCUAACUACGUGCCAGCAGCCGCGGUAAUACGUAGGGUGCAAGCGUUAAUCGGAAUUACUGGGCGUAAAGCGUGCGCAGGCGGUUAUACAAGACAGGCGUGAAAUCCCCGGGCUUAACCUGGGAAUGGCGCCUGUGACUGUAUAGCUAGAGUGUGUCAGAGGGGGGUAGAAUUCCACGUGUAGGGGGUGAGGGGGCGUAGAUAUGUGGAGGAAUACCAAUGGCGAAGGCAGCCCCCUGGGAUAACACUGACGCUCAUGCACGAAA